GACGAACGCUGGCGGCGUGCUUAACACAUGCAAGUCGAGCGGUAAGGCCCUUUCGGGGUACGACGAGCGGCGAACGGGUAGAGUAACACGUGGGUGACCUCGCCCUCCAGCUCUGGGAGUAAGCCUCGGGAAACCGGGUACGUAAUAACUGGAUAUGACUCCAUGACGCAUGUUGGUGGGGUGGAAAGCCUUGUGCGGCUGAGGAUGGGCCCGCGGCCUAUCAGCUUGUUGGUGGGGUGAGGCCUACCAAGGCGACGACGGGU
rnacentral:rRNA from 1 species